rnacentral:rRNA from 1 species
AGAACGAACGCUGGCGGCAUGCCUAACACAUGCAAGUCGAACGAGACCGCUGACUUCGGUUGGCGCGUCUAGUGGCGCACGGGUGCGUAACGCGUGGGAAUCUGCCCUUGGGUUCGGGAUAACAGUUGGAAACGACUGCUAAUACCGGAUGAUGACUUCGGUCCAAAGAUUUAUCGCCCAGGGAUGAGCCCGCGUCGGAUUAGCUAGUUGGUGGGGUAAAAGCCUACCAAGGCGACGAUCCGUAGCUGGUCUGAGAGGAUGAUCAGCCACACUGGGACUGAGACACGGCCCAGACUCCUACGGGAGGCAGCAGUGGGGAAUAUUGGACAAUGGGCGAAAGCCUGAUCCAGCAAUGCCGCGUGAGUGAUGAAGGCCUUAGGGUUGUAAAGCUCUUUACCCGGAUGAUAAUGACAGUACCGGAGAAUAAGCCCGGCUAACUCCGUGCCAGCAGCCGC